UACGUAGGGUGCGAGCGUUGUCCGGAAUUAUUGGGCGUAAAGAGCUUGUAGGCGGUUUGUCGCGUCUGCCGUGAAAAUCCGAGGCUCAACCUCGGACUUGCGGUGGGUACGGGCAGACUAGAGUGUGGUAGGGGAGACUGGAAUUCCUGGUGUAGCGGUGAAAUGCGCAGAUAUCAGGAGGAACACCGAUGGCGAAGGCAGGUCUCUGGCCACUACUGACGCUGAGAAGCGAAAGCAUGGGGAGCGAACAGG
rnacentral:rRNA from 1 species